rnacentral:rRNA from 1 species
AUUGAACGCUGGCGGCAUGCCUUACACAUGCAAGUCGAACGGUAACGGGCCUUCGGGUGCCGACGAGUAGCGAACGGGUGAGUAAUACAUCGGAACGUGCCCGAUCGUGGGGGAUAACGAGGCGAAAGCUUUGCUAAUACCGCAUACGAUCUACGGAUGAAAGCAGGGGACCGCAAGGCCUUGCGCGAACGGAGCGGCCGAUGGCAGAUUAGGUAGUUGGUGGGAUAAAAGCUUACCAAGCCGACGAUCUGUAGCUGGUCUGAGAGGAUGAUCAGCCACACUGGGACUGGGACACGGCCCAGACUCCUACGGGAGGCAGCAGUGGGGAAUUUUGGACAAUGGGCGCAAGCCUGAUCCAGCCAUGCCGCGUGCAGGAUGAAGGCCUUCGGGUUGUAAACUGCUUUUGUACGGAACGAAAAGCCUUCUUUUAAUACAGGAGGGUCAUGACGGUACCGUAAGAAUAAGCACCGGCUAACUACGUG